AGAGAUUUUCCACGUGUUUGUUUUUACUCUAGGUCCCCUUCUCAUCCCACUUCCUCAGGGUGUCUCUGAAUUGUAAGGCCCCAUUCCUGUCCCUUGGCCCAGGGCUCCUUGUCCAGUGUCCCUGCCCCCAGCCCAGCCCUGUGCCCCACUGUCCUCUGGGAGGGAGGUGCUUCAUGGGCCCCUCCCCGCCUGCUCAGGAGACUUUCUUUUUUAGGUGGUGGUGGGGACCCUGAGCGUCUGGACAGAAGCUCACAUUCCCCACAACGGCCUGGGGCUGAGGACAAUGCCCUCAAUGAAAUCGUGAGUAUCUUGCAGCCCACCCAGGUUCCUGAGCAGGAAAUGGAAGUCCAGGAGCCAGCAGAGCCGACAGGUGUCAAUAUGUUGUCCCCAGGAGAGUCAGAGCAUCUGCCGGAACCGGAAGAAGCUGAAGGGUCUCAGAGGAGGAGGCUGCUGGUUCCAGCGAAUGAAGGUGAUCCCACUGAGACUCUGAGACAGUGCUUCGAUGACUUUGCAGACAUGGUGCCCUUUGACUCCUGGGAGCCGCUCAUGAGGAAGUUGGGCCUCAUGGACAAUGAGAUAAAGGUGGCUAAAGCUGAGGCAGCGGGCCACAGGGACACCUUGUACACGAUGCUGAUAAAGUGGGUCAACAAAACCGGGCGGGAUGCCUCUGUUCACACCCUGCUGGAUGCCUUGGAGGCGAUGGGGGAGAGACUUGCCAAGCAGAAGAUUGAGGACCACUUGUUGAGCUCCGGAAAGUUCAUGUAUCUAGAAGGUAAUGCAGACUCUGCCAUGUCCUGAGUGUGAAUCCCUUCAGGAAGUCAGACCUUCCCUGGUUUACCUUUUUUCUGGAAAAAGCCCAACUGGACUCCAGUCAGUAGGAAAGUGCCACAAUUGUCACAUGACCGGUACUGGAAGAAACUCUCCCAUCCAACAUCACCCAGUGGAUGGAACAUCCUGUAACUUUUCACUGCACUUGGAAUUAUUUUUAUAAGCUGAAUGUGAUACUAAGGACACUGUGGAAAUGUCUGGAUCAUUCUAUGUUUGUGUGUACUUUGAGAUUUGGUUUGGGAUGUCAUGGUUUUCACGGCACUUUUUUAUCGUAAUGUAAAUGCUUUAUUUAUUUAUUUGGGCUACACUGUAAGAUCCAUCUACGCAGUUGAUGUCCGACUUCACUUGAUACUAUAUGAUAUGAACCUUUUUUUGGCUGGGGGUGCGGGGCAGUUCACUCUGUCUCCCAGGCUGGAGUGCAAUGGUGCAAUCUUGGCUCACUAUAGCCUUGACCUCUCAGGCUCAAGUGAUUCUGCCACCUCAGCCACCCAAAUAGCUGGGACCACAGGUGUGCACCACCACGCCUGGCUAAUUUUUUGUAUUUUGUCUAGAUAUGGGGGCUCUCUAUGUUGCUCAGGGUGGUCUCGAAUUCCUGGACUCAAGCAGUCCGCCCACCUCAGACUCCCAAAGUGCUGAAAUUAGAGCCGUGAGCCCCCAUGCCUGGCCUUACCUUUCUACUUUUAUAAUUCUGUAUGUUAUUAUUUUACGAACAUGAAGAAACUUUAGUAAAUGUACGUGUUUACAUAGUUAUGUGAAUGGAUUAGAUAAACAUAAAAGGAGGAGACAUACAAUGGGGGAAGAAGAAAAAGUCCCCUGUAAGAUGUCACUGGGUUCCAGCCCUCCCUCAGACGUACUUUGGUUUCAAUGACUGGCAACUUCUACAGGGGCCAGUCUUUUGAACUGGACAACCUUACAAGUAUAUGAGUAUUAUUUAUAGAUAGUUGUUUACAUAUGAGUCGGGACCAAAGAAAACUGGAUCCACAUGAAGUCCUGUGUAUGGCCGGUCCCUACCUGGCAGUCUCAUUUGCACCCGCAGCCCCCAUCUAUGGACAGGCUGGGACGGAGGCAGAUGGGUUAGAUCACACAUAACAAUAGGGUCUAUGUCAUAUCCCAAGUGAAUUCUGAGCCCUGUUUGGGCUCAGGAGAUAGAAGACAAAAUCUGUCUCCCACGUCUGCCAUGGCAUCAAGGGGGAAGAGUAGACGGUGCUUGAGAAUAGCGUGAAAUGGUUGCCAUCUCAGGAGUAGAUGGCCCGGCUCACUUCUGGUUAUCUGUCACCCUGAGACCCUGAGCUGCCUUUUAGGGUACAGAUUCCCUACUUGAGGACCUUGGCCGCUCUGUAAGCAUCUGACUCAUCUCAGAAAUGUCAAUUCUUAAACACUGUGGCAACAGGACCUAGAAUGGCUGACGCAUUAAGGUUUUCUUCUUGUGUCCUGUUCUAUUAUUGUUUUAAGACCUCAGUAACCAUUUCAGCCUCUUUCCAGCAAACUCUUCUCCAUAGUAUUUCAGUCAUGGAAGGAUCAUUUAUGCAGGUAAUCAUUCCAGGAGUUUUUGGUCUUUUCUGUCUCAAGGCAUUGUGUGUUUUGUUCCGGGACUGGUUUGGCUGGGACAAAGUUAGAAUUGCCUGAAGAUCACACAUUCAGACUGUUGUGUCUGUGGAGAUUUAGGAGGGGGUGGCCUUUCUGGUCUUUGCACUUCCAUCCUCUCCGACUUCCAUCUGGCGUCCCACGCCUUGUCCCCUGCACUUCUGGAAGGCACAGCGUGCUGCUGCCUCCUGGUCUUUGCCUUUGCUGGGCCUUCUGUGCAGGACGCUCAGCCUCAGGGCUCAGAAGGAGCCAGUCCGGUCCCAGCUCCCUUGUCCCUUCCACAGAGGCCUUCCUAGAAGAUACAUCUAGAGUGUCAGCCUUAUCAGUGUUUAAGAUUAUUCUUUUAUUUUUAUUUUUAAUCUUUUUGAGACAGAAUCUCACUCUCUCGCCCAGGCUGGAGUGCAACGGUACGAUCUUGGCUCAGUGCAACCUCCGCCUCCUGGGUUCAAGCGAUUCUCGUGCCUCAGCCUCCGGAGUAGCUGGGAUUACAGGCACCCGCCACCACGCCUGGCUAAUUUUUGUAUUUUUAGUAGAGACGGGGUUUCACCAUGUUGGUCAGGCUGGUCUCCAACUCCCGACCUCAGGUAAUCCACCUCGGCCUCCCAAAGUGCUGGGAUUACAGGCGUGAGCCACCAGCCAGGCCAAGCUAUUCUUUUAAAGUAAGCUUCCUGACAACAUGAAAUAAUUGGGGGUUUUUCUUGUUUAGUUACAUUAGGCUUUGCUAUAUCCCCAGACCAAAUAGCAUGUGACACAGGACAGCCAUAGUGUAGUGUGUCACUCGUGGUUGGUGUCCUUUCAUGCUUCUGCCCUGUCAAAGGUCCCUAUUUGAAAUAUGUUAUAAUACAAACAAUACAAGGAAGCACAUUGUGUACAAAAUACUUAUGUAUUUAUGAAUCCAUGACCAAAUUAAAUAUGAAACCUUAUAUAAAAA
rnacentral:sRNA from 1 species